rnacentral:rRNA from 1 species
UACAGAGGUCCCAAGCGUUGUUCGGAUUCAUUGGGCGUAAAGGGUGCGUAGGCGGCGCGGUAAGUCGGGUGUGAAAUCUCGGAGCUUAACUCCGAAACUGCAUUCGAUACUGCCGUGCUUGAGGACUGGAGAGGAGAAUGGAAUUCCCGGUGUAGCGGUGAAAUGCGCAGAUAUCGGGAAGAACACCCGUGGCGAAGGCGGUUCUCUGGGACGGUACUGACGCUGAGACGCGAAAGCGUGGGGAGCGAACAGG